rnacentral:rRNA from 1 species
UACAGAGGUCUCAAGCGUUGUUCGGAUUCAUUGGGCGUAAAGGGUGCGUAGGCGGUGUGGCAAGUCAAGUGUGAAAUCUCGGAGCUUAACUCUGAAACUGCACUUGUUACUGCCGUGCUAGAGGGUUGUAGAGGAGAUCGGAAUUCACGGUGUAGCAGUGAAAUGCGUAGAUAUCAGGAGGAAUACCGAUGGCGAAGGCAGGUCUCUGGGCUGACACUGACGCUCAUGCACGAAAGCGUGGGGAGCGAACAGG